CUCAGCUCUGUCUUCCUCGGGCUGGCUCCUGCGGAUCCUUCCUGGGCCAGAACCGUGCCUCUAGGCCACCUCCCCCAAGCCACCAAGCCCCCGCGGUGGGCCAGCCUUGGCCCAGUGUCACGCAGGACAGAAAUGACCAACAGAUAACUGAGGACAAUGGACCUGCCUGGGCAUAGACUUCCUUAAGAGAUGUGUGCACAGACCCAGGCCAUGCAGAUACUGGUGCCUCUAACUUCGUCAGCCCAGAACACCUCACCUCUGGCCCCCAGCACAGGAAAGCAGCGUGGUCAGGAGGGGUUAAACUUCGGCUGAAGCACAGGCGCAGUGAGCCUGCAGGCCGACCUCACUCGUGGCACACAACUAAAUCUGGGGAGAAGCAACCCGAUGCCAGCAUGAUGCAGAUAUCUCAGGGUAUGAUCGGCCCUCCUUGGCACCAAAGCUACCAUUCCAGGUAAGUGGCUAUAGCUGAGACUGAAGGGUUUCUUUCUUUCUAAUGUCAUGUUCCCAGAAAAGAAUGUUUUCUUCUCUGUUUUGAGAAUGUUUUUUCUUAUACUCACACUAAAUAUUAAAUCUCUAUCCACUGCUUUUCUCAUCCUCUUAUAGUGCUUGACGUGUAUAUGAGUUACCUUUAUAUGCUUGGCUAGAUCAACUUGAAGAUCAGAAUUAUUUGAAGCACUGGCUGGCCAUUUGAGAUAUUUAUGGGGUCCAUCAAUUCUCAGACAUUUCUCCACUGAUAGCACUAUAUUAGAAAAAUUGAGAUUUUUCUUCCUUCAGUGCUUAAGUGUGCUUUCUGCCUUAGUCAAAACCGUAUCCAUUUUUAUUCCUGUGUUUGAACUCCCCAUUUGGUUUUGCUCUUUCAAUUAAGGUAAUUUGUCCAUCUUAGCUCCAACGGCACAACUAAUGUACUGAGGACCACUCAGUGUAUACAUUAUCUCAUGUAGUGACUCAUAGACUUCUUUAAAACAGAUACAGUAGUAUUAACCCCAUUUUGCAGAAUAGGAAAUUGAAGCUUGCGGCUGGGUGCAGUGGCUUAUGCCUGUAAUCCCAGCACUUUGGGAGGCCAAGGAGGGCGGAUCACCUGAGGUCAGGAGUUCAAGACCAGCCUGGCCAACACGGUGAAACCCUGUCUCUACUAAAAAUACAAAAAUUAGCCAGGUGUGGUGGCAUGAACCUGUAAUCCCAGCUACUCGGGAGGCUGAGGCAGAAGAAUCGCUUGAACCCGGGAGGUGGAGGUUGCAGUGAGCUCAGAUCACGCCACUGCACUCCAACCUGGGUGACAGAGUAAGACUUCAUCUC
rnacentral:lncRNA from 1 species